rnacentral:lncRNA from 1 species
CUAAGAGAUGGACUCUUCAGUGCAUUAAUAGGACCGGCUCGCCGAAAUAAUGGGUCCAUGGAACGCUACAGUUUCUUCAAAUAAACUUUACCAAUGGAUCUUCACACCUGAAUAGUACAUCAACCAAAUAUUAGCUCAUGUUAUCUAUCAUUUUCUCUGCUUUCUAUUGAACUGACUAUCAUAGGUUCUCAUAUAAGAGGACAAUCUAACUGAUGAGUGAUGCCAAAAAGGCCAGCCUAAGCUAAACCACCAAGCAAAGCCAAGUUCGCUAAACGACAUGCGCAGAUAAAAGUUUUGGCAAAAUAAAAGUUUCAGGCCUAAAUAUGCUUCUCUCAAUCUUUGAUAUUUCUGAAAAUCUGCAUUUUACACUGAAUAAAUGUUACAGUACAUGGCAAUAGUGCGUCCAAAGGCAGGAAAACAUAUCAAAGGCAGUCAAACAGAUCAAAUCCACCAUCAUCUACUCAUACAACAAAGCAUAACCACAUAGACCACUCCUAUGGACCUACUAAACCGACUAUUACAACCAAAAUGGUGAAUAUAAGAAAUAGACAGGUAGGACAGAUGCACACCAAAGGUAAGAAAGUACUAAAGUACUAAAGUGGCUAUUACAACCAACACGUGUGAGUAUUAAGAAAUAAACAGGCAGGACAUGUACACACCAAAGAUAAGAAAGCAGUAAAGUACAUGUCCCAGGUCGACGACGAACAUCCUAGAAAGAAGCAACCACACCAGAUCCUAGCCCUUGGAAGCAGAAGUCCAGUACCAUGCGGCAAUAAGAGACCAAGAACCAAAAAACAAUGGCGACACCGGACUGAGAAACGAAAGAUAAGCACGAGCGAAUCAGGAGAGAACACACAUCUUAAUGAAGAAAACGCAAGCGGAAAAAAGGGACCGCACCUAAGGAACGACGGCAGGGCCAGCAGAGAGAAGACGAUGUCCGAUCCCAAGACAUCAUCCACAUCACAUCUGGAGGAGGAAAAAUAUGGAUAAAUACUACGUACAUAGCCCCUUCAACAUAAAAGACUAUAAAGAUAAAGGACAUUUUUAGCUCUUUCUCCUUUUAGUUUAAACCUAGUAGAAACAACAAAAAAGGAAAAUAGGUGAGGUUGCAUUUGAAAACUACUUUAAUAAAAUGUCAAUAAAAAUCUUCAAAGCAUUUUUUUGCAUGUGAAUUGGCUGUUACAAAUGACAAAUAGAUUACAGCCAAAAAAGUAAGUUUAGCAAAUAAAUUACAGCCAAGAAAGUAAGCAUUACGCAGCUAGUUUGGCAAAUAAAUUACAGCCAAGAAAGUAAGCAAAUUUUUAAUUACAUCCAACAAUUUUGGUAUUCAAAAAGGAGAUCGAUGUACACAUCAGACUGGAAGUCACCAUAUGCAACACCUCCCUAUCACUAUGUUGCAGAUGUAAUCAUAAAGGUCUCCAGGUCGCAAUGCACAUGACAAAGUAAAAUACCCAGAAAAGGAAAUAUCAUCAGAGGUAAAGAUUAUGCUGAGAAUCGACCUUCAAAAUCUGAGAGAGAAAACAUGUGUGAAUGCUAGUUCCAAGUGCCUUCAUAUUCUUUAGGCCACUUCCAAUCCAGAAAAUAAUAGGGGGUCAAGAGAGAGGGAGGGGGAGAGAAACCUGUAACACGGUCGGGUUGAGUCGAAGAAGUUGCACGACAAAGGAAGCAAGCACAUCCAGCGCCACCAGUCGCUAGUCAGAAGCAACUAUUAUUAGGAAAGAAGAGGUGCAUCAGAAUUACUCAUUUUGGUGCAAAUAAAUUAGAUAAACACCAGAUGGCAAACCAAAUCAAUUAGAUAGUUAUAGUCUAGCUUGUGCACACAAUAUCGUGUUCUUUGUGGUGACUGUUGUGCAUUGCUUCUGUUCAAGCAAGUAGAACUAUACAACAAAAAUAGGUAGUAAAACUUGCAGGAUUUCAGAUAAUUUUGUUUUGCAAUUGAUGACACUUAAUACUUGCAAGUCUGUCAAUUUUAGUAUCAUCUUCACUGAGGAUUCACUUGCCAAACUUAAUGAUUUUUUAUCAAGGGUGUUCUAUGGCAAGUUAACCUGCCAAUGUACGAAAACUGAAUCUUUCUGCAUGAUAGCUUGAUAAGCCCAUAUACAUGAUAUUGUCCAGACUUGUCACUAUGCUAGCUAUUUACUCUCUCUAAUUUUCUUUGGAUGCCAUUUUAGGAUGUGUGCAAUCAUCUUCAAAAUUUGAGUACGGACACAAAGAUAAUCUUUUAUCAACCCCUAAAUUAUUUAUAGGCAUGAACCACUGAUUUAGAACUUUAGUUGGAUCAAGCAAGAAUGCAGUUACUUCAUAAUAUAGUUGUUGAACAUAAGUGCAUAUGUUUCGGGCCCCUUGGGGAUGGAGGGGGAGUUGGCAUCCUGUCAAAAUAGUUCAGGCCCCCAAGAACGACAUCGGCAAGACGUAAUGGUCAGGAAUAAACAACCAAGUGACAUCAAACAGUAACCACGACACAUAACGACAUUUUUUAGAAAAGCUAAUGCUGGAUUACUUCAGCUUCAAACAAAACACACAAUGCUUAAACAGAAGGUAAAAUUAACACCAAAAAUUCAGUAAGCAGAUAUUGCAAGUCACUUGUGAAUGAGCUGCCAAACAUACAUGCGAAGGGUGGAUUUGCUGAGCAUUGAACAUAAUGGCAUGGUCUAAACUUUUAGAUCACUAAAUGCUGACUUGCAUAAUGUGGCAACCAUAGUAGAUCCAGCAUAAUAAUAUUUUCCGAGGACACUCAUAUCUUCUGUAGGCAAGUCACAUGACCUACAGAUGCAAUAUAUUGUGUGUGUGCAAGUCAUAUAACUGAAAGAGGUAAUAUAUUGUACAUAUAAGUAAAAGUUGACUGCAUGCUAAAUGUGAGGAAAAAAUAAUCAAUGAUUACACUUGAGCAUAAAAUGGAAUUUGUCUUCCCUUGCAACCUGCUUGGAUUUUCAUCGAGCGCCUUGUAUGCAUGUACAC